rnacentral:rRNA from 1 species
AAUGGGGGCAACCCUGAUCCAGCAAUGCCGCGUGGGUGAUGAAGGCCUUCGGGUUGUAAAGCCCUUUCGGCGGGGACGAUGAUGACGGUACCCGCAGAAGAAGCCCCGGCUAACUUCGUGCCAGCAGCCGCGGUAAUACGAAGGGGGCUAGCGUUGUUCGGAAUGACUGGGCGUAAAGGGCGCGUAGGCGGCGCAUUUAGUCAGGCGUGAAAGCCCUGGGCUCAACCUAGGAAUUGCGUUUGAUACUGGUGCGCUGGAGUGCGGGAGAGGAUGGUGGAAUUCCCAGUGUAGAGGUGAAAUUCGUAGAUAUUGGGAAGAACACCGGUGGCGAAGGCGGCCAUCUGGACCGUUACUGACGCUGAGGCGCGAAAGCGUGGGGAGCAAA